rnacentral:rRNA from 1 species
AGUUUGAUUCUGGCUCAGAUUGAACGCUUAUGGGAUGUUUACACAUGCAAGCUGAACGCAGCACGGACUUCCGGUCUGGUGGCGAGUGGCGAACGGGUGAGUAAUGUAUCGAACGUGCCUAGUAGCGGGAUAACUACGCGAAAGCGUAGCUAAUACCGUAUACGCCCUUCGGGGAAAGUGGGGGGACCUUCGGGCCUCGCACUAUUAGAGCGGCCGAUAUCGGAUUAGCUAGUUGGUGGGUAACGGCUCAAAUUGCUAAGGCGACGAUCCGUAGCUGGUUUGAGAGGACGACCAGCCACACUGGGACUGAGACACGGCCCAGACUCCUACGGAGGCAGGUGGGAAUUUUUUGACAAUUGAACUCGAUCCAGCCAUCUCGAGGUGGUAUGAUGAAUGCCUUCGGUUGUAGAAGACUUUAUAGGAAGAAAACGGCACGGGAUAAUACCGCGCAACUGAUUAAGCAUCUGCAGAAUAAGCACCGGCUAACUACGUGCCAGCAGCCGCGGUAAUACGAAGCGUUAAUCGGAAUUACUGGGCGUAAAGCGUGCGCAGGCGGUUCGAAAGAAAGAUGUGAAAUCCCAGAGCUUAACUUUUGGAACUGCAUUUUUAACUACCGAGCUAGAGGCAUUAAGAGGGAGAAUCGCGUAGCAGGAAAUGCGUAGAUAUGCGGAGGAACACCGAUGGCGAAGGCAGCCUCCUGGGAUAACACUGACGCUCAUGCACGAAAGCGUGGGGAGCAAACAGGAUUAGAUACCCUGGUAGUCCACGCCCUAAAACGAUGUCAACUAGCUGUUAGCCCGGGCCUUGUAGCGCAGCUAACGCGUGAAGUUGACCGCCUGGGGAGUACGGUCGCAAGAUUAAAACUCAAAGGAAUUGACGGGACCCGCACAAGCGGUGGAUGAUGUGGAUUAAUUCGAUGCAACGCGAAAAACCUUACCUACCCUUGACAUGUCUGGAAUCCCGAAGAGAUUUGGGGAGUGCUCGCAAGAGAACCGAACACAGGUGCUGCAUGGCUGUCGUCAGCUCGUGUCGUGAGAUGUUGGGUUAAGUCCCGCAACGAGCGGCAACCCUUGUCAUUAGUUGCUACGAAAGGGCACUCUAAUGAGACUGCCGGUGACAAACCGGAGGAAGGUGGGGAUGACGUCAAGUCCUCAUGGCCCUUAUGGGUAGGGCUUCACACGUCAUACAAUGGUCGGGACAGAGGGUCGCCAACCCGCGAGGGAGCCAAUCCGAAACCCGAUCGUGGUCCGGAUCGCAGUCUGCAACUCGACUGCGUGAAGUCGGGAAUCGCUAGUAAUCGCGGAUCAGCAUGUCGCGGUGAAUACGUUCCUGGAAGUCUUGUACACACCGCCCGUCACACCAUGGGAGUGGGUUUUACCAGAAGUAGUUAGCCUAACCGUAAGGAGGGCGAUUACCACGGCAGGAUUCAUGACUGGGGUGAAGUCGUAACAAGGUAG